ACCGGGUCGAUACCAAAAAUAGGUUCACGUAAGAAAGUGCCUAUUAGUUUGCGUAGGAAUGCCCGUUUUAGUUUACGGAAGAGUGCACGUAGAAUAACAAAAGGGGUUAUUCAUGUGAAAGCCAGUUUCAACGAUUACUAG
rnacentral:rRNA from 1 species